rnacentral:misc_RNA from 1 species
AAGUCGUAACAAGGUUUCCGUAGGUGAACCUGCGGAAGGAUCAUUAUUGAAUCUUCUUUUUUACAUUGUGAACUUUUUUGUUUCUUUUUCGUUUGGAAUUUUGGAUUUUAAUGCUAAUCUUGCAUAGCCUUGCUUUAUUGUGAGGCUGUAAAAGGUUGUAGUAAAAUGCAAAAGACAAACGAAAAAGGACAAAACAUUUUAAACAUAUAACAAAUGCAGUCUAAUGAAAAAAACAACAAUCAAAAACAACUUUUAACAAGGGAUCUCUUGGCUCUC